rnacentral:lncRNA from 1 species
AUUUUGUGAUUUUUUUAAUUUUAAAGUUUUUGUAAGGAUCCCGCAAAGUAUGUAGGUUGAUGUCUUAUGGUUUUAUCAGUCGAUAAUCUUUCUUCUGAUAUUAGUGUAAGGUACGCAAGGCGACGCUCCCAUAGCUUAGGUAAAAACAAACGUCAGUCUGACAUCAGAAGAAGUUUUGCAUGUUUUUCCAACACCUGUGAAAUUCCACCGUCAGGAAAUGACCAAAACCUCGAACUUAUAAUAUUGUUCGAGAUAUUAGUUUCAGAAUAAGGCACGUGAGUAAAUAGCGCAGGGAUCCAAGAUAGGAGAAUUGAUUCGGAAACACAUAUAAAAUAAAUAAUAUAUAUUUUAUUUAAAAUAAAC